CAAGGCCUUUGUUUACGUGAUUCAAAAUUUGAACGUCGCAAGUACACUACAAUCAAAAUUUAUUUUGUAUAUAAAGUGUCAUUAUUUAUAUAUCAUUAUUUUCUAUAUAUAUAUAUAUAUAUAUAAUUUUUGUCGAACUUUACGGGUGCCGCCGACCCUUCUUGGUAUAGUAUAGAUCCUCCUUUAUUUAUUUGCAGAGAUGAUUUGCCCGCUUUCCUUCACGAAGGAAGUUUGUACGUAUGAAUUAAUAGUCAUAGUAUAAGAAAGAUGACAUAAAGCAUGGAAUGAGAUUAAUGCAUCGAAUGCCCUUUUUUAAGGGAUUGUGAUAGAAAAAGUUGUGAUAUUUUCGGAAUUUUUUAAGGGAUUGUGAUAGAAAAAGUUGUGAUACUUUCGCAAGGAGGAACUAGACUAGGUUGCACUGUUCCAAAAGAAAAAAAAGCAUAGCUAUCACGUUGAACCAUAUCUAUUAAUGGUGAAAGGUCUAUUUUUUAAUUGUUGAUCGAUAUAAUAAUCAUACAAAUUCUUUUUUAUUUAUUUUUCCAGAAAAUGAAAAAAAUAUUAUGGUGAUCUAAAAGUUGUGUUCGAUUAAAGGAAAAUUGAAUUCCGAAAUAAAAUUUGCAGAAGAAUCAUCCAGAAAGCUCGAUUAAGAUCUUAUUUAUCUUCAAGCUUAAGCUAUUAUGGAGGGAUAGUUAAACACAUCAUGAGAAGCGAAAUUUAUAAAUACCCAAAACAUCCAAUUAUUUCAUCAAAUAAAAUAUUAUAUAUUAAAUAAAAGGUUAAAACUAAAAUUGUAGGGAGCACUCAGUAAAGAGAACCCCUCCAAAAAUAGGCGUAUGCCACUAUUUGCAGCGCGCACACGGUAUUCUUUAGUAAAAGGCGAAAGAAUAGUUCGCUUUGUGCUCACUGCGUGGCUGCGUGAGUUUUCACUUCCCCUUGCGCUAUCAUUAUAUACAAAACAAGUAGUUUGGACUUACUCUAUAUGUUUCGAUGUGGGACGCUCUCAUUCUUUCUCCUCUAACUUCUAAGGCAUCAAUGUACAAACUCUUUUCUUCUUCUUUUCAUCAUUUCCUUCACUAAAGAUGACCUACAUGUUUCUGGUAGAAGGGAUUUUAUGUGGUUCUCCAUCUCUGCUUGAUUUAGGAUUUUAAUUCUAUGUAUUCAGCUUUUAUGGUUCUGAGUAUUAAACCUAUUAUAUUAUGGGUUCAGAUUCACUAUAUGUUGGGAUUUUUGUGAAUUUUUACACUAAAUUUAUACUCUACGUCGAAAGUACUGGAUUCAAAUGAACCCGGUACAAUAACACUACAUACGCCUCUACUUCAUUGUAUGAUACUUUUUUUUGCUUUUCACCUAAUAUUAGAUAGUUGUAUUGAACUAUUAAUGCCCCGACUAAUCUGAAUUCGCGUCGCAUCAGGCUCAUUAAGGAAGUGCCCCUGUAUAUUAGGAUCUUAUUCAUUCCUAUGGCUCGAGCUAAGAAGUAAAAAGUGAUUCAUAUCUUGGUAAUUUUAAGUAAAUAGAUGCUCACAAGCUGAUGAUCAAGUGCUUCAUAGAAUGUGUUAGACUAUAUAUCUUGAAUUUCCAAUGCAGGUUUUGAUGACUUUUAGUUUUUGGUUUAAACUAUGUAUACAUAUGGAAAAAUAAUUUAGAACUUAGAUAUGAAUCCAUUGAUUCUAUAUCUUAGAUUCUCCUCUGUAGCAGCAGUUGUCGAUUGUUAGAGUUAAAUCUUUUUACUGUUAAUGACUUACUUUAAGCUGGAUUUGAAGUUAUACUUCAGUUCAGCUUAUGACAAUUCCUCUUGGCAUACUUGAUGAACUGUGUAGUAACAAAUGAUACGAAAGUAUAGUCCAGGACAUGGACAUUAGUCUUCUCCUAGGAGAUGAUAUGAAGGUUGACCUAGGAGUCCUCCAAGAAAGAAAUAUGGUACAGAGCAAUGUCGCAUGUAGAAUUUUGCAUAUUGUAUAUUUAAGUUAUAUGCACCGACAAUGUAAAAAUUUACACUAUUUUUACAUUGUCAAUGCACAAAACUUAAAGUCAUUUAAUGAACUAUUUUUUUUGGUAUAUCAAUGUCAAAUCAUAAGAAAUUAAAUUGGGUUUGUUGUUAGUGUCAGAUCAUACCCCUUUGAUACAAGGUGUCUUCGCUAACGGUACUUCAAACAACAAUAACAUACUCAGUGUAAUCUCACAAGUGGAGUCUAGAGCUAUUGGUGUUUCAGAGUGUUGGCCUUUCCCUGACUAUGAAAAACAGGCCACGGGAAUAUCACAUUGCUAGAUAUCCAAGAGUUGCACUAUCUGCAUUGCUCUUUGUUUGACCCUUAAACCAUAGCUGGUUCAGAUUGUUGUAUUUUAUCCAAUUUUCUCUCGCAACUCUGUUAAAUGAUGUUGUAGUAUUGGAAAUACAGAGCAAAAACAUGGAAACUUAUCUUGAUUUUAGUAGUUCUGUUAGCGUACAACAAAGAGAAUGUAAGGACAUCCCAUUCAACUAAAAUUAGCAAAGAUUUCGUAGUGAAUCGGCUGGAAUAGUCCAACACCUGCCCCCCAUUCCCCGAAUCUGAGUGACCGGGUUAAAUCUCAGUAGAUCAUGGAGGCAAG
rnacentral:lncRNA from 1 species